rnacentral:rRNA from 1 species
CCUAAUACAUGCAGUCGAGCGAAUGGAUUAAGAGCUUGCUCUUAUGAAGUUAGCGGCGGACGGGUGAGUAACACGUGGGUAACCUGCCCAUAAGACUGGGAUAACUCCGGGAAACCGGGGCUAAUACCGGAUAACAUUUUGAACCGCAUGGUUCGAAAUUGAAAGGCGGCUUCGGCUGUCACUUAUGGAUGGACCCGCGUCGCAUUAGCUAGUUGGUGAGGUAACGGCUCACCAAGGCAACGAUGCGUAGCCGACCUGAGAGGGUGAUCGGCCACACUGGGACUGAGACACGGCCCAGACUCCUACGGGAGGCAGCAGUAGGGAAUCUUCCGCAAUGGACGAAAGUCUGACGGAGCAACGCCGCGUGAGUGAUGAAGGCUUUCGGGUCGUAAAACUCUGUUGUUAGGGAAGAACAAGUGCUAGUUGAAUAAGCUGGCACCUUGACGGUACCUAACCAGAAAGCCACGGCUAACUACGUGCCAGCAGCCGCGGUAAUACGUAGGUGGCAAGCGUUAUCCGGAAUUAUUGGGCGUAAAGCGCGCGCAGGUGGUUUCUUAAGUCUGAUGUGAAAGCCCACGGCUCAACCGUGGAGGGUCAUUGGAAACUGGGAGACUUGAGUGCAGAAGAGGAAAGUGGAAUUCCAUGUGUAGCGGUGAAAUGCGUAGAGAUAUGGAGGAACACCAGUGGCGAAGGCGACUUUCUGGUCUGUAACUGACACUGAGGCGCGAAAGCGUGGGGAGCAAACAGGAUUAGAUACUUG